GCGAAGAACCUUACCAAGGCUUGACAUGUUCUCGAUCGCCGUAGAGAUACGGUUUCCCCUUUGGGGCGGGUUCACAGGUGGUGCAUGGUUGUCGUCAGCUCGUGUCGUGAGAUGUUGGGUUAAGUCCCGCAACGAGCGCAACCCUCGUUCCAUGUUGCCAGCACGUMRUGGUGGGGACUCAUGGGAGACUGCCGGGGUCAACUCGGAGGAAGGUGAGGACGACGUCAAAUCAUCAUGCCCCUUAUGUCUUGGGCUUCACGCAUGCUACAAUGGCCGGUACAAWGGGUUGCGAUACUGUGAGGUGGAGCUAAUCCCAAAAASCCGGUCUCAGUUCGGAUUGGGGUCUGCAACUCGACCCCAUGAAGUCGGAGUCG
rnacentral:rRNA from 1 species